GAGCAACCUGCCCUGGACUCUGGGAUAAGCGCUGGAAACGGUGUCUAAUACUGGAUAUGAGAUGUGAUCGCAUGGUCAUGUUUGGAAAGAUCUUUCGGUCUGGGAUGGGCUCGCGGCCUAUCAGCUUGUUGGUGAGGUAAUGGCUCACCAAGGCGUCGACGGGUAGCCGGCCUGAGAGGGUGACCGGCCACACUGGGACUGAGACACGGCCCAGACUCCUACGGGAGGCAGCAGUGGGGAAUAUUGCACAAUGGGCGGAAGCCUGAUGCAGCAACGCCGCGUGAGGGAUGACGGCCUUCGGGUUGUAAACCUCUUUUAGCAGGGAAGAAGCGAAAGUGACGGUACCUGCAGAAAAAGCGCCGGCUAACUACGUGCCAGCAGCCGCGGUAAUACGUAGGGCGCAAGCGUUAUCCGGAAUUAUUGGGCGUAAAGAGCUCGUAGGCGGUUUGUCGCGUCUGCUGUGAAAUCCCGAGGCUCAACCUCGGGUCUGCAGUGGGUACGGGCAGACUAGAGUGCGGUAGGGGAGAUUGGAAUUCCUGGU
rnacentral:rRNA from 1 species